UGCCGUAAACCGUCUGACAGAACGAUUUUCAGCAAAACAUCAGGAAAAUGGCCGCCAGCCGAUGUUUUCAACUAGACGAGUAUGAAAGGGAAUACAGUGUUAGAUAUCAUCGAGGAUAUGUGACCAAAGGGUUUCAGAAGUCUUGAGAGAUGUAUGCAGAUCAAACCCAUCAAGUAAGCCAACACCAUGUCUACAAGGUCAUACCUCUAGAACCUCUCACACCUGAGGACAAAUCUAAAAGUGGACAGAGGGAUAGUAUGAAUGCUUCAGUGAAAUUAAGGAGCUCAGGUUCUAACAAGCGUAGUAGAGCAGUGCAACACAGAGGUACUCCAAUGUGCAAUUUUACAAGUUUUUCCAGACAGUGAUUACAGCGAGGCUUGAAGACUACUGUACACAAUUUCUUAACAAAUCCAAAAACAAAGCCGUGUAACAUUCAACUAAGUGAUUCAAAGAAAACCAAACUACAAACAAGAAAGGGUCGAUUGAAUGGAGUGACAUUUUUACCCUGAAGCGUCCUAUUAAGAUAAAGAGAAUCUAGUCGUUUGUGCCACGGCACAAAAUUAUCAGACACAUAAGUAACAUUCAAGUAGUUAUGCAUUUACAUGGAGGAUAUGACAUUAUUGUAUUUUCAUAUUGAAUUUAUCAUAUAAGUUGCCAGUUGAUCGAACCACACACUUAAUUGCCAACAUGGUUGGAAGGGUCUUAUUGUCCAAGCUGCAAAGAGUGUAUACCCUUAUAAACUAGCUGGCACAGUUGUGUGUCAGUUGAUAUCAGUCUUUGCUGCUUGCAAAUUAAAUCCAAUACUUUCAUAGAAUUAUAUGUUUUUAUUUAAUGUUUAUAGCAUCAAUAAAUUGAUAAUCUGAAAACAUAUUGCAAGUCAGGUUUUCAAGUAAAAUCCUAACUAGAACUAUCACUAAAUGUGAUUAAUACCCCCACAAGACUGCUUCAGAAAUGAGGAUGUUACUAGUAACAGAAUACCUUGUAAAUGAAUUGAAAUAUAGAGUUAUGGUUGUGGGCAAUUAAAGAUAGUUGUGGUUCUUGUAUGUUGCAUUUUCUUUCAAUGUGGUUGGCCAUUAAUGAAGUUUUAUUGAAUUACUCUGUAAUAAGUCCAGAAAGACAAGGAAAAGGAACAAAGGGCAGUAACUCUAUAAAUACUGAAGAUGGAGUUAAAGUUCUUGUGCACUGCACUUCCUCUUAUUGUGCUUGACCAUUUUAUGAAGUUGUUUUGAAUUCCAACCAGUACCUUUUAAGUUAUGCUCCGGACAAGGAAAAGUAUCAAAGGGCAGUAACUCUGUAUUUUGUCAAAAUGGAGUUAUGGCUCUUGUGCACUGCACUUCCUUUUAAUGUCCUUGACAACUGUAUGAAGUUGUAUUGAAUUCCAAACAGUAGUUUUCAAGUUAUGCUCUGGACAAGGAAAAGUAACAAAGGGCAAUAACUCUGUAAAUAC